GGCCGGAUUGACCCUUGAGGUACCAAGGACAGGUUUUGUGGCUUACACCUGUGUAUGGCACCAGGGGAGGCAGGAUAGAGUGAGGAUCUGAGCCAGUACUUGAUUACCUCUUCAUAUGUGGUAUUCUCUCUUGUUACGGUACCAAGAGGUCUCCCACAUCACGGUUAUCCGUGAGUGCGCCUUCUGCCAAUUGAAGGCCGGUGGCCCUUCAGGCAGUUGGUUAAUCUCUGGGUUCCGCUGGAGUAAUUGACACAUUGUAUAAAUAGAUUGUGAAAAAUACUCGCCACAAAUUGGAUAGCGUUGGCAGUGUUUGGAAUCCUCUUCUAUGUGCUGAAGUUAAAGGCAUCCUCAAUGGUGUACUGGAACAGCACUGAGACAAAUGAGUGUCAGGAUUCCAAGACUCCUAGAAGAGGCCUUAAGCGUUUGUUGUCAUUGAAGGAAGAGUUAACUCUAACCUUGUUACGACUCCGAAGAGGAUUUUGCGAUUUCUGAAAGUUCUGCGAGUCAAAUAUGUACCACUUGGUUGUUUCUGAUGAACAAUGACCUUAACUUUCUCAUCAAAUGUCCAUCCAAAGAACAAAUUAGGGAAAAUCUACCCAAAUGCUUUAAACAUUUCAAAACAACAAGAUGCAUUUUAGACUGCAUAAAAUUCUUUGUACAAAAACCUAGCCUUCCAUCUGUUCAGAGAAUAACCUAUUCAUAUUACAAACACCACAAUACCUUUAAGUGUCUAGUAGCCCUAACUCCAUCUGGUUCUGUAUCCGAUUUGUACACUGGUAGUAUCUCUGACAAGAAAAUAGUACAAGAAUCUGGCUUUUUGGAUAAUAUUGAGUUUGGCGAUGACGUUAUGACAGGCCCUGGCUUUUUAAUAAGAGGCGAUCUAGCAUUAAACAUCCCCCAUUCUCUUUUGGAAAACAGAUGGAUAACAAUGCAACCACUAGACCAAGAAGGAUCGCUCGGGCUCGAAAGAGCAAUGGGACGCUUGAAAAACUAUGCAAUGUUGCAGGGUGUUAUUGCUCUCCAGAUGAAGCCUUUGUACAAUAAAAUUGUGUAAUGUUAUGCAGCCUUGACUGUCAACUUGUUAAAUAAAAUUGUAUUCAAAUCAGUACUGUACAUGUAUAUCCAUGUGAAUACCUUUCCUUUUAAUAAAUGGCAAAACAAUU